UCCCUGGUGGUUCAGUGGGUAUGAUUCUGCACUUCCAAUACAGGGGGCCCAGGUUCAAUCCCUGGUCAGGGGA
rnacentral:tRNA from 1 species